GAUGAACGCUGGCGGCGUGCCUAACACAUGCAAGUCGAGCGAUUCUCUUCGGAGAAGAGCGGCGGACGGGUGAGUAACGCGUGGGUAACCUGCCCUGUACACACGGAUAACAUACCGAAAGGUAUGCUAAUACGAGAUAAUAUACUUUUAUUGCAUGGUAGAAGUAUCAAAGCUCCGGCGGUACAGGCUGGACCCGCGUCUGAUUAGCUAGUUGGUAAGGUAACGGCUUACCAAGGCGACGAUCAGUAGCCGACCUGAGAGGGUGAUCGGCCACAAUGGAACGGAGACACGGUCCAAACUCGUACGGGAGGCAGCAGUGGGGAAUAUUGCACAAGGGGCGAAAGCCUGAUGCAGCAACGCCGCGUGAGCGAUGAAGGCCUUCGGGUCGUAAAGCUCUGUCCUCAAGGAAGAUAAUGACGGUACUUGAGGAGGAAGCCCCGGCUAACUACGUGCCAGCCGCAGCAGUAA
rnacentral:rRNA from 1 species